rfam:Triticum aestivum genome assembly, contig: Triticum_aestivum_CS42_TGACv1_scaffold_569028_7AS
CACAUACUCCCUCUAUCCGGAAUUAUUUGUUGUAGAAAUGGAUGUAUCUAGACAUAUUUUUAGUUCUAGAUACAUCCAUUUCUGUGACAAGUAAUUCGGGAUGGAGGGAGUAUUUG